UAGUUGUCUCCUAAUUUUACAUGUUGGCUUGUCCUCUUUAUAGAAGUUUGAAUCGUACACUUGUCAGUUUGUGUGUGUGUUGUUAAAAUUCUCUAUUACGUUUGACCAAGAUACAACAGUUUGGCACAUACAUCGUUUGCAUGCCUAUCUCUCCCUUUUGCAAAGUUUUCCUAAGUGACGUUAAGUUCAGUCGCAUCUAUAGGUGUGGGUGCAGAAAAAACAUUUGCAUCAGUUCAAAAUGAAACACAAAAACAGUACGAUGCGUAGUUUGAUGUGUGUGUUAAAAACAAAACAGUAUGGUUUUGCAUUAUAUUUUGUUCACUAAACAAAAAAAGUUCUAUCAGUUCAGCAAAUAAAAACCCUCUCCUCCUGUCAAUCCCACUUCAACGGCUGCGUAAUUCCAUUUCCCCUUCUUUCUCUCUAGCCAUAACCUCGGCCGCCGGCCACCCCGCUCCUACACCUUGCUGCUUGUUCUCUGUUGGUGGUGCACGCCACUGAUGAUAGAUGGUAGCUACUCUUGAUGCACAUUUUCACUACUGGCUGUGCGUACGCAUUGGUGUGCUGUAGAGUGAUGUGAAACACCCAGUUCAAUUUCACAUUAACUAACUCGUCACACACUCAAUUCAAUUUCUUCAGUGGCAAAAGAGUGGAACCUGCAGGAGAAGCCACGGGGGGCGAGGACGUCCAACUCGGCGAGAUCAACGUCAUAGUCGACCCCAUGUUUGCUGGCAAGACCACUGUGGUUCUCCACCGGCACCGCCCAUGGCUAGAGCUUGCCGGCGAUGGCAGAUGUGGAGCUUCACCACCAUUCGCAGCCCCAAACCAUGAUCCAGUUCUUCGUGAGGCUCUCGAGCUUGUAUUUUUUUCCAGUUCAUCUAAUGUUAGGGACAGUCAUCCGGGUGCAUGGGAGCAACUGCUGAUGGAGGACGAGUCAAAGUGUUGUGACUGGCUGCUGCAGAUCCUCUGAUGUCCACGACGAAAAAUUGCAGAGUUCUACUUCGUCAAGAUAGGAGUGAGAUUUCGAUGGGACACAACCAGAUUAUGAUGUUGGACUAGCAAAUUUAGCAGAUGAUGAUGUUGUACAUCAAUUCAGACCAGAAAGACUGUUGCAACAAAACUAAGAUGCACAAGUUCAUAUUUUGUAUGCUUUUCAGUUCAUCUACUUCCCGGUGAAUUUCGAGUCGAACAAUUGCAAAAAUUCAGAGCAGACAACAGGAGAAGUUCAACGAAAAAUCGGACUUGUAUAGUAAUGAAGGAGGAAGCAUCAGUGCCGCCGGGUCUAGGAAUUCAGGAGGUUCAAAGAUUGUCGUGGAGCAAGUUCAAGAGUUUAGCCUGCGUGAGUCGUCCAUCAUCUUCCCUCAUCUAGCAUCGGAGUCUCUCCUCCCCCUUGCCGAACACACAGGCCAGGCUGUCUAGCACCUCCUCAGGUGAGGACGGCGACGAGUCACGACACCGCUGCGUCCAGCAGUCCAACACCACCGCCGGAGGCCGUUCACUGUCAUGCCUACUUUCGCCCGUGCCUCCUUCCCAGUCAUCAUGAGACCUGACAGAAGAAGGCAGAACCUCUCUCUCGUACACAGUAAUAUUGCUCUCUCAUCUCUCAUGUCGUAGGCAGUAAUAUUGCUCGUCAGGUCACUGCAUGUUUGUUCGUAUGUCUAAAAAUAAUUGAGUUUACAUAGGAGUUCAAAUGGAUAAAAAAAUGAAUAGUUAUAUGUUUGAAGUUCAUCGACCAAAAUUCUAGAAGUUCAAACUGAGAAACAUGUUAAGUUCGAACGAAAAAUAAAUGAGCCCUUCUGACAUUUUCACUGAGAAAAAGGUAAGGAGUUUAUGUAUAACUGUAGCUAGUGCCCCAUCGAAUCAACAUUGCGAUGUAGUAAAAUAGUUUGUUUACAUCUCUCUAGCUGUAUGAGAAUGAAUGUUUUGUUAUUAUAUCUGUUUCAUUGCUUGUCUUCAGUCACCUAAAUAAGUUCAAGAAAAAUCUGUAAGUUUGGUGCGUGUGCUGCUACAAAUCUAAACUUCUUGUCCAAUAAUUCUAGUACUGAUGAGCAUCGAGUUGAUUGAAAUUAUGUACUCCUAGUUGGUUUCUAAGACCCUUAAUGGUCCUUCUAUAUAUAGAAGAUGUGCCUGAUAGCUAUACAUGACUUUUGUGUAUGACAAAUGGUGCGAGGAAAUUCUGAAUACAUGGCACGGUCGCUCUUGGACAGUAAACAUUUAUAUCUUAUUUAUUAGUGCAGCCAGUCUGUGCUUCUUCAGUUCUAAAAUUCCCAGAGCGUCAGUGCAACUACAUAUCAGGCCUCCCCCACUGCGCCGCCGCCCCGACCACCAGCCUCCCUGGGCAUGGUACGCAAUCCACUCCUGUGCCACACCGUCCUCGAUGCCCCGCCACGCGCCACCAGCCGCCGCCUCCCUCCCACGCACCACCCGCGGCUGCCACGCCAAGGCUUGCGCUCAGCGGCCGUAGAGGGAGCAACGGGGUCGAGGAUCUUCAUCUCAGCAGUACAACUGCACGCCUCGUCGUUGUUCAUUAAAAGUGCUGCUGCUGUACACUCAACACAGGAGCACGCAGGCAGGUGCACGCAGCAAUAAGGGAGAAGCGCACAUGAAGCAGGCGAGGAGGUGUGUGUGUGCGAGAGAUGAUACUGAACUUGUAUUGCUGCUGUACUUGCGUGUGAAUGAUUCUUUUUUUCCUGCUCAUUCUUGUACCGCCUUCCAUGAAAAAACCUGAUGACAGAAUACUUGAUAUUUGUGUAUUCUAUCAUCAGUCCAUGGAGAAGAAAUUCUUUUUUCUUCGGUGUGUAUUCUAGCGUGAGUUCUAUGUGUAUUUUUGUUCUCUUUUCUUCAGUCCACAAGAAGAAAAAAAUGUCAGUUCAUGAAUAGAGAAUGUUUGUAUUAAACUUAA